UAUAAAAGAAACUUGCUAGGCCACCAAGCACUUGGAGCUUUGCAGGAUAUCUUGUAGUUUUACUGAACAGCAAAGCCUUCACUUUGGCUUUCUUGGUUCCUGAAUCUUCUGUGUGCUGUGGUGGGUUUAAACUAAAUUGAAGGGCUUCAACAUGAAAAAGUUCAAAGCGGAGCUCCCUGGGUCCUCAGCAGUGAGGCUGGCCUCCCUGCGUGACCUGCCCGCCCAGCUCCUGGAGCUGUACCAGCAGGGCUUCUCGCUGGCGGCCCUGCACCCCUUCGUGCAGCCCACCCAUGAGCGGGAGAAGACGCCCCUGGAGCACAUCUUUAGAGCCAUCCUGAUCAAGAAAACCGACAGAUCUCAGAAAACUGAUCUUCACAAUGAAGGCUACAUCUUGGAAUUAGAUUGCUGUUCCUCCUUAGACCACCCGACAGACCAGAAACUCAUCCCAGAGUUCAUUAAGAAGAUCCAGGAGGCUGCAAGCCAGGGCCUGAAAUUCGUUGGUGUUAUACCUCA
rnacentral:lncRNA from 1 species